rnacentral:lncRNA from 1 species
GAAAUGGAUUGAGCAGCAAGAAAUAGUUCUGUUGGGGGAAGACCCUAAUCAGGAUGGAGACUCAAGAUGUUUGUCUCUUUCUUUGGAUGUCAUUGUCCCAAGCUCCCGUCUGCCUUCUACCAGGAGAAGAACAGCCAGCCCCCAAAACCCUGGGGUGUGGGGAAGGGCACUUACCAGCUCAGCAGAGGCCAGCCCCUUCCUGGAAGGCUUAGACCUUGAUGACAAACUGUAGUCCGUGGAUCAGCAUGUCUAAACAAACAAACAAGCAAUAAAAAAAC